rnacentral:rRNA from 1 species
UACAGAGGUCUCGAGCGUUAGGCGGAAUCACUGGGCUUAAAGCGUGUGUAGGCGGAUCGUUAAGUGUCUUGUGAAAUCCCUCGGCUCACCCGAGGACCUGCACCCCAAACUGCCUGUCUUGAGUAUGGGAGAGGAUGAGGGAAUUCCUGGUGUAGCGGUGAAAUGCGUAGAUAUCAGGAGGAACACCGGUGGCGAAGGCGGCGUCCUGGACCAACACUGACACUGAUGAGCGAAAGCCAGGGGAGCAAACGGG